AUUGAACGCUGGCGGCAUGCCUUACACAUGCAAGUCGAACGGCAGCACGGGAGCAAUCCUGGUGGCGAGUGGCGAACGGGUGAGUAAUGUAUCGGAACGUGCCCAGUCGUGGGGGAUAACGCAGCGAAAGCUGUGCUAAUACCGCAUACGAUCUAUGGAUGAAAGCGGGGGAUCGCAAGACCUCGCGCGAUUGGAGCGGCCGAUAUCAGAUUAGCUAGUUGGUGGGGUAAAAGCUUACCAAGGCGACGAUCUGUAGCUGGUCUGAGAGGACGACCAGCCCCACUGGAACUGAGACACGGUCCAGACUCCUACGGGAGGCAGCAGUGGGGAAUUUUGGACAAUGGGCGCAAGCCUGAUCCAGCAAUGCCGCGUGCAGGAUGAAGGCCUUCGGGUUGUAAACUGCUUUUGUACGGAGCGAAAAGGCUCUCUCUAAUACAGGGGGCUCAUGACGGUACCGUAAGGAUAAGCACCGGCUAACUACGUGCCAGCCGCCGCAGUAA
rnacentral:rRNA from 1 species